AUUGAACGCUGGCGGCAGGCCUAACACAUGCAAGUCGAACGAGUGGCGGACGGGUGAGUAAUGUCUGGGAAACUGCCUGAUGGAGGGGGAUAACUACUUGCAAAGGUAGUUUAUACCGCAUACCAUCGGAUGUGCCCAGAUGGGAGUGGCUAGUAGGUGGGGUAAAGGCUCACCUAGGCGACGAUCCCUAGCUGGUUUGAGAGGAUGACCGGCCACACUGGAACUGAGACACGGUCCAGACUCCUACGGGAGGCAGCAGUGGGGAAUAUUGCACAAUGGGCGCAAGCCUGAUGCAGCCAUGCCGCGUGUAUGAAGAAGGCCUUCGGGUUGUAAAGUACUUUCAGCGGGGAGGCGUUACCCGCAGAAGAAGCACCGGCUAACUCCGUGCCAGCCGCCGCGGUAAUAC
rnacentral:rRNA from 1 species